rnacentral:rRNA from 1 species
UACAGAGGGUGCGAGCGUUGUCCGGAAUCACUGGGCGUAAAGGGCGCGUAGGCGGCCUGAUAAGUAGGGGGUGAAAUCCUGAGGCUUAACCUCAGGGCUGCCUUCUAAACUGUCAGGCUCGAGCACAGUAGAGGCAGGUGGAAUUCCCGGUGUAGCGGUGGAAUGCGUAGAGAUCGGGAAGAACAUCAGUGGCGAAGGCGGUUCUCUGGGACGGUACUGACGCUGAGACGCGAAAGCGUGGGGAGCGAACAGG